rnacentral:tRNA from 3 species
UGCGGGAUGGUGUAAAGGUAGUCACGCCUCCCUUUGGAGGAGGAGAUCGGGGUUCGAGUCCCUGUCCCGCAGCAA